rnacentral:rRNA from 1 species
UGAACGCUGGCGGCAGGCCUACCACAUGCAAGUCGAACGGUAACAGGAAGAAGCUUGCUUCUUUGCUGACGAGUGGCGGACGGGUGAGUAAUGUCUGGGAAACUGCCUGAUGGAGGGGGAUAACUACUGGAAACGGUAGCUAAUACCACAUAACGUCGCAAGACCAAAGAGGGGGACCUUCGGGCCUCUUGCCAUCGGAUGUGCCCAGAUGGGAUUAGCUAGUAGGUGGGGUAACGGCUCACCUAGGCGACGAUCCCUAGCUGGUCUGAGAGGAUGACCAGCCACACUGGAACUGAGACACGGUCCAGACUCCUACGGGAGGCAGCAGUGGGGAAUAUUGCACAAUGGGCGCAAGCCUGAUGCAGCCAUGCCGCGUGUAUGAAGAAGGCCUUCGGGUUGUAAAGUACUUUCAGCGGGGAGGAAGGGAGUAAAGUUAAUACCUUUGCUCAUUGACGUUACCCGCAGAAGAAGCACCGGCUAACUCCGUG